rnacentral:tmRNA from 1 species
GGGGGUGAAUUGGGUUCGACGAGGGUGUGGAGGCGAGGAGGUGCAUGCCGAGUAUCGUGCUGCUCGUAAAAUGCACGAGAAAAUAAACGCGAAUACUGAAUUCGCAAUGGCCGCUUAAUUGCGGCCACGCUCUCCUUCAUCAGGCUCGUGGAUGAAGGGUCGGGCGUCACGACAGCGAGCUUGGCUUCCGGUUGGUGAUCAGCGACCGGGAGCGACAACACGCUGAUCUGGCUGUAGGAGGCGCGGGCAACCUGGCCCCCUCAUACGGCGAGAAAUUGAUAGGUUGCUAAGCAUGUAGAUCCUCUCGUCGAAGGCCUUCGGACAGCGGUUCAAUUCCGCUCACCUCCACCA